ACACUUACCUGGAAGGGAAGAUACCAUGAUCACGAAGGUGGUUUUCCCAGGUCGAGGCUCACCCAUUGCACUCUGGGUGUGCUGACCCCUACAAUUCCCGUCCCCCUCCCCAAAAAAAUCAUAAAAUUAGCCGGGCGUGGUGGCACAUGCCUGU
rnacentral:snRNA from 1 species